rnacentral:rRNA from 1 species
UCGAGCGAGCGGAACUAACAGAUUUACUUCGGUAAUGACGUUAGGAAAGCGAGCGGCGGAUGGGUGAGUAACACGUGGGGAAUCUGCCCCAUAGUCUGGGAUACCACUUGGAAACAGGUGCUAAUACCGGAUAAGAAAGCAGAUCGCAUGAUCAGCUUUUAAAAGGCGGCGUAAGCUGUCGCUAUGGGAUGGCCCCGCGGUGCAUUAGCUAGUUGGUAAGGUAAAGGCUUACCAAGGCGAUGAUGCAUAGCCGAGUUGAGAGACUGAUCGGCCACAUUGGGACUGAGACACGGCCCAAACUCCUACGGGAGGCAGCAGUAGGGAAUCUUCCACAAUGGACGCAAGUCUGAUGGAGCAACGCCGCGUGAGUGAAGAAGGUUUUCGGAUCGUAAAGCUCUGUUGUUGGUGAAGAAGGAUAGAGGUAGUAACUGGCCUUUAUUUGACGGUAAUCAACCAGAAAGUCACGGCUAACUACGUGCCAGCAGCCGCGGUAAUACGUAGGUGGCAAGCGUUGUCCGGAUUUAUUGGGCGUAAAGCGAGCGCAGGCGGAAGAAUAAGUCUGAUGUGAAAGCCCUCGGCUUAACCGAGGAACUGCAUCGGAAACUGUUUUUCUUGAGUGCAGAAGAGGAGAGUGGAACUCCAUGUGUAGCGGUGGAAUGCGUAGAUAUAUGGAAGAACACCAGUGGCGAAGGCGGCUCUCUGGUCUGCAACUGACGCUGAGGCUCGAAAGCAUGGGUAGCGAACAGGAUUAGAUACCCUGGUAGUCCAUGCCGUANACGAUGAGUGCUAAGUGUUGGGAGGUUUCCGCCUCUCAGUGCUGCAGCUAACGCAUUAAGCACUCCGCCUGGGGAGUA